GUUCUUUCAAUUUUGAAAAUAAACCACGCAAUAGCACGUAUCUUGUAGGAUAGUGAUUACGGGUGUCGGUCCACAGGGAUUGGAGACAAGUUAUUUUUCUUUUAAAAAUAAAUCAAAAAGAAGGAUUUGCUAACUUGAUUUAACUAAAUUAAUCUAUGAGUACGAAUUGAAAUUUUAUCAAAGUAAAUAGAUCUAGGGUUUGGAAUCCACCACAUAGCAUUGCAUCAAGGAUUGUGUUCUUAGUUUUUAUCUUUUGGAGAGGCA
rnacentral:lncRNA from 1 species